CGGGCCACCGCGGGUCGGGGUCGCCGCCGGGGCUCGGUCAGUCGGUACCUUCAUGAAGGUCUCUACCGCGCCUUUGGCCGUGUCCAGGUUGACUGAAAACAGCGAGUUGACAAUUGUCAUGCCACUGGGAAUAAGCACCAUGACGGUCACCUGUUGCAGCUCGACAACUCAUUCAGAACUGCCUUCUGGAGGCAGCACUAUAAGAUGCCAUUAUAUCUAUUAAGUGUUGGGAGAAAAUGCAGAGAGCACCGUGAGCACCAAGGAUGAACAAUUAACUCUCAUAACAUGGUGGCAAAGCAGAGACCACAUGAGGCUUUGUGAAGAGGUAAGAAGAGCAGGAGAGCCAGGGCCUCCGUGUGGA